AUGCAGGUUCCCUGAGAGGAAGCGGAGUCUCCCUGGCUGAGCUGCCAGGCCACAGGCGAGUCCGCCCCACAUCCUUCCAUUCCCGUGGGAACAGAGAGGGUGCCCUGCGGUGACAUUUUCACAGCUCCUCUGCGUGUGACCAAGGAACCAUGCAUCUCCAGGGGCCCAGAAGCCUCCUGCAGGCCCCUCUUGGACAUCACCAUCCUCAGACGGAAGGACUCUUCUGACACAGCAUCACCUUACCCGAGUCAUUUGUCAACGUUUCGAGAAUCCUCUGUGUUGCUCUUUCGGAGGCUCAAGAAUUAAGUAAUCCCCCCAACGUCACAUGGUUAUGAACUGGAGCAGGAUUCAAACUCAAGACUCUCCCAACCCCUCCUAAUCCUUCCAUCUCCUGGCCCAGGGCCCCGAAAGAUGGUUGGAGACUCUGGUUCCCAUCCGGCGCACUGGGCGGCAGGGAGCCCUUGCCGGAGUUCUCUGCAUCUCCUGGGGAGCUGUUUUUUCUGUCAGCGGCCGCCCAGGUUCCCAGGACAGCUCCUGGCCAGAUGGGGAGAAGCAGCAGCAGCCCGCCAUCCUGUGCCCAAGGUGCGCGAGGGGAGCAAGAUGCAGAAAGGGUUAUCAAAAAUCUGGAUAUCAGGUUUUUUAUCAGCAUCGGAAGGGACCAGAGAGGGGAUGGGUACCUACACCAGACAGCGGAGCCUCUCAGGCAGUGCCUCUGCAUAGAGGAGGAAACCGAGGCUCAGGAAGGACCCCUGGAGCUCAUGACCAACACGGCAGCAGGAGACUCCAUCUCCUGGCGCUCAGGCCGGGCCGCUCUCACCUCAGGGCUGCAGUGAGACGGCUGCUACCAGAAGACUCAGGAACGAAUCCGUGGUGCACUUUAGAACCUCUCAUUUCUUUCCCCAAAGCCUUGCUGCUAUUUGUACCCUCCCUCUGUCCCCCAGUUCUGUAGGGGUGGGGGAGGGACCGGCUCCAUGGGGUCCUUCUUCGCUCAGGUCUCGCCCAACUCAGCCCUGGGCGGGCACCAGGCUGGCCAGCACCCGCCACAGCUGCGCGCCCCAGAUGACACCCCGCCUGCUGGGCACGUGGCCUGCAGGGACACCGAGAAAGGUGGGUUUGACAGGAAGCUGGGCUUUGUUUUGCUGCGAUUCUCACCCCCUUUGCGUCUACAGGUAUCUCCUCUCAGCUUGGGCAGAGGCUGGCACCCCCGGAGCACUGGGGGGCCGGCAGAGAGAAUGGCAACAAGAGGGCCCCCGGGGGUGGGGGCGGCCGCGGCCGCCAGGCGAGCACCUCCACGCCCCCAGCGUUCGCUACGAGAAAACACAGGCCGCGCCACUUCCUAGGAGACGUUUCAGGAAAACACCACCACGGCGGUCCAGCUCUUCCUGCCGUGGCCGGGCAGGGGACACGCCUGGCGGAGACGCGUGGGGCCAGGAGCCCCGCCUCCACAUCAGUCACCUU